ensembl:misc_RNA 7SK 7SK RNA
GGAUGUGAGGGAGAUCCAGCUGUGACAUUUGUCACCCCAUUGAUCAUCAAGGUUGAUUGGGCUGGAAUGGCUGGCUAGGUGAUUGUCCCCUUUUUCCCUCACAGCUCCUUGUGCAUCCAUCCCAAAGCUGUGUGCUCAGUCAAAAAGGCCAACCUUCCCAGAAGAGAGACAAACCAGUCUUCACUCCAGGAUAUAGGAAUAGUUGCACUCCCCUGCUAGAUCCUACAAACAGACUCUCAAAAUAGAACAUGUGGUCAGAAAAAGACAGGCAGGGAAUAGUUGAGACCACAAAUCUUGAUUUCCUUUGAACACUAAGGAGAAAUGAUUU